AAGACAAAAAAAAAAAAAGAAAAGAAAAGAAAAAAGAAAGUCUUCAGGCUAAAUAGAAGACCACCUUCAACGUCUGCACUGCAAAGGCCUUGGCAGGGCAUAGGAGCCCUGGCCUCCUGGCUGCCCUAACCCUCUCUGUCAAAUCAGAUACUACUCCCUUCCAGCUCCCACUCCUCUCUUCAUUCUAUAAAUGGUCCAGGGCCCCCACUCCCUCCAGCCGAGUUACAGUAUCUCAAAUCUUGAAGCAGCAGCUCUGAAUCCUCCUGUGAAACCUGUGAGCAUCAUCAUGGUCAUUUUACAGCAAGGAAACUGAGAUUCCAAAGAGAAGAAGAAACUUGUCCAAGAUCAUGCACAGCAGCCCGCCUCAGAGAUUCCAGGUGUUUCCUCACACUAAAACCCCUUCUCUAUACCAGGGAAGAGCAGCAGCCACAAUCCUUGAGGGACUAAACUUCAACCUUCUGCAGAACCUGGAAUAAGCAGUGCCAGAUCUAGGACCAUGACAUCCAAGGGGAUAAGUCUGGAAGCGGUAGAAGAUCCUGUGGGGAGAGAUGGCCUAUGUUUUUGAGCUCUUUUCUAGACAAAGAGAGAAUCCUGAGGAUUUCCUAAGUGGCAAGGGAAGCCAUGGUAGCCAUUGGUGCUGCAUCCACUGAAUAAAAGACCAAUAGGGGUAGACAGCUGGGGCCGAGAUCCCCAAACCGAGUUAUAUAGGAGCACCACUCAAGGAGUCUGUAGUAAAUGUAGGUGCCAUUCAGGGUGAGGCAGGUUCUCAAGAUGGAAGGCCCAGGAAACUUCUGACAGGGCUGGGGUGGGGGUCUAGGUUGGGUUGUGGAUCCGGAACAGACCUGGUCCAUCAGGGAGGUCUCUGGUGGGAGACAGGUAGGCGGGCACUUGCCCCUUAGGCGUGCUGCCAGGGUUAGAUGAACUGAGGGUUCUAGCAUCCAUCUGGCAAUAAUGGGAGUUUCCCUUCCUCCUUCCACAGGACAGGAAAUCUCAGGGCAGGAGCAACCUGCAGGGCUGGCAGCAUGAGAGCUGCUCAGUCAGUUGCCUGGACAACUGACCUGAGGCUCUUUUAAGAAUGUUCCAGUGCAGGCUUAUUGAGGGGAAGACUCUAACCAAGGGUAGGUGUGAUCCAGGGACUGAUGGUGACUUGCAUGGGAGUCACUCUGAGCUGUCCUUGAGCAUCCAGCCACAGUCCCAGUCACCCUUGCAGAGGGGCGCUUGCCCUGGGGCCAUGCCACUUCAGUUUGGGAGAGAGUGUCAGAUAAGUUCCUGCCCUCCAGCUUCAUCAUUCCCAGCAUCCAGAUGAAGCUGCUCUAGACCUCUCAGCUUGUCACCUCCCUUCAGCACAAGAGUCUCCAAUGCCUCCCCAGUGCCUCUAGGGCAGAGUCCACACUAGCCUGGCAUUUAUUAUCCCACCCUAGGUAGGGCGCUUGAGGCUUAAGAGAGGCCCUGUCCCCUGCCUCUGCCCUUCCCCAGUCACACCCCGCAUCCCCUGCCCCCAGAUGCCACAAGACCAUUCCCAGGGCCAUAGUGUGCCCUCUCCGCUCUGAUCUUCCAGAAGUCCCAUCUUUCUUCCACAGCUCUCCCAAGUUCCAAGGCCAAGCAAAGCCUCUACUCUCCUCUCAUGACUUCAUAGUCCUGCUUCUGUGGUGACAUCCUGGUCUUCACACAGAAGGAGCCUAAGGGAGAUGUCAAGUCUCCAGCCAGAAAGUGGGGACUCCACAUCCAACAGGCCAUGGCUUCCAACACGUCUACAGCUGCAGCCCCUCCCCAGCCUCAGGGCACAGCCAGGAAAUCCCUUGUGUGUGUCCAGCUUUCAGACAGCCCCAGUCCUCAGAGUAGCAGAGAGGGGGACAUCAGCAGCCAGGAUCCAGAGAUCUCAGACUCGAAGCCCCCUUGGGCUCCAGCAGACCUGCCCAGGGCACAGAUGGGGCCUGCAAUCCCCACCUUUCACGCCUCCUGGCUCUCUACACCCUCACAGCCCAGCGCCCUCAGCACCAGCCUCCCUGCACACCAACCCUUCUCUCUGCACCACAGCUAGAGUCCCUCACACCAUUCCCAGUGCCAAGCAUGAACACGCCCCUCACCCAAAGGCCUCUAGAAAGGAAACUCAAGAAAGCCUAAUUAUGAGCCACAGAGGGCCCAGGUGCAAUUACUGAUAAAGUCCUAUUUAGGAACAAGCAAAAAAUGGAAAACAGCCCUGCCGAAGGUGAGCCAAAAGGACCUGAAAGGGAACUCUGGACAAACUGGCAGACAGGAAGCCUGCACAGGCCAGAGCAGGCAGUCUAGGCUGAGAGGCUGGCUUGUGGGCCUCUAUUUCCUCAUUUAUAAAACAGGAAUUAAAUGCAAUAUGGCACUUUCCAGCUCUGACCUUCUCAGAUUGUAUCUAUUCAUCGAUUCCAGCUCCCAAAGCCAUGUCUGAAGCACACCUGUGUUGAUUUUCCACUCUCCCAGGAUCUACCCCCAUCCUCGGAGGGCUGAGUUGGCCAGUCCGAGAGGCACACAUAGAGAGGAGAAAGUACAGGGGCCCAAGAGUCACCACUUUUCCCUCCAGGUAAUUGGACUCUGAGGAGGAAACAUCAGAAGUGCUGAAGCUGGAACCCACAAGCUCUUCUAGGUCCCCCCAGUCCUGAUGCCCUCCUCCCCAUCCCCAAAUUUAGGGCUACCUGCAGGGAUCCUUCUUUUGUUCACAGCUUCACUACUACACUUGUAUGACCUUGGACAUCAGCUGACCUCUGACCACCUUCCUCCCAGAGGGCAGAACCGGAUUGCCUGGCGCUCUCCCAAACCUCUUCCCAUCCACUGCAUCCUUGCCUCCUUCAGGCAACCCUUUCAGCUUCUUUUGGGCAGGAAUUCGUCCACAGAAUUUGCUCUCUGAGAAGAUUCACCUGACUGCCAGAGUAACAGAAGAAAAUGUUGUAAGACAGCUACAUCGAGGCCCAGAGAGCGUGACUUGGCUGGGCAUCCAGCCUUCCAAUCCUGGCUUGUGAGAGUUGUACCUGAUGCCAUAAACCUGAUGCCAAGGCCCUGAGCUGUGCGUGUCACUGGGCCAGGCUCCUACGGGGUUCUUGCCAGAGGUCACAAAGAUGUGGGAGACAUGGCGGCAAUCUUUCCACCCCCUCCUCUGCUAACCACCUCUACUACAACCCUCCCCACCUAGUCACAGGAAGGGGCAUGCCCUCUGCAACACCAAUGGGCCAGGUAUGGCCAAUAAGAAUCCUUCCCUCGGACUGGCAUGCAGAUAGCUGAGCAGAUGCCUCCCUGCUGGGACUGCUCAAGCUCUGGUCUUGCAUGCAGAGAAGGAAGUACAGGAGGAAGAUCAAGGCCAGCCCCCAGGAGAAGCACAGCCAGGCAGAGCUGAGGGGUACAGAGUCCCUCUGUCUCUAAGGCCCUGACCCCCACGGUUCUGCCUUCAACCCCGCAAUUUAUUGGGCACCCUCCCCAGACACUGGAGCAUAAAUUCCCUCUUGGCCUUAAACUGCCCAAUGACACUUCCUUCUCAAGUCAGUUCCUUCUUUCAUAAACCAUAUCAAGCCCAUGAUUCAGCGUGGACCUGUGUGAUAUUUUGUCCUUCUCGCUCAUGUGUAUCAACUCCCCAAGGUGAGAUUCUAGCCACAGAUUUCACUGCUGCCUUCCUUGCACUCAGCACAGGGUCUCAGGCAAUGGGCCCUCUGUAGCCCAGCAAGAGUUGGUCUCUGCAGCUCUGGGACCAGAGACUCUAUCCGCCUUUGCAUCUGGCCAGCAUUUCACCGAACAGAGUACAUGAUGAGGGUUGGUCUAAACCACAGGCUCUGUGAGGCCCCUAGGAAUCAUCUGGAGAGCCCAGAAACCCUUUAGAAAUGUAGCCAUGCUCCUUGAAGCCCAGCUGGAAUCAAGGUCCAAGAAGCUCAAAUGAUGCUGUUCUGGAGAGCAGGCCCUUGGGAAUGAGACCCCAUGGGUGGAGAAAGUCUGACUCUCUGGGUGGAAAGUCCCAGAGGUAGGUUUGGGGCUGGACUGCUUUUCCCUUGAACAAUUUCAGGUACUUCUCUCCUUCCUGUCAGCAAGGAUGCUGGGACAGCAAAUGGGUGGGGGGCACAAGCCAUGCACCAGGCACCCCACUAAGUACUCCACACAUCAUCUGCCCAGAUCCUCCAGAGGACUUCCCCACAGUUGAGGAAACUCAGGCAGGAAAGCUUGAAGACUUGUCCCAGGUCGCCAGGCUAGGAAGCAGCACUCAGCCCCGGUGCGCUCUCCUGCCCCUGCCUUCCAACGGCACCGUGCCCUCCCCCACAGCCUGAGGGGAAGGGAGGUGGGGGGGGGGUGCGCCGCUGCGGUUACCAGUGCCAUUGCCUGAGAAGCUCUUGGGAAACCGGAAGGACGGGAGCUGGGAAUCUGCCACAGUCGGGGCCCCCUCCAGCCUGCCCGCAAGCGCUCCCAAGGCUGAGGGUGCUCUGUCGCUGGAGUAGUCAAAAGACAAUCUCCAGCGUCCCGCCCCCUCCCCUCCCCGACAUUCUUGCUGCCAAAUGAAAUCUGGCAGCUUCUGAAAAUAGCUCAGCGCUGCAGCAGGCGCUCUGCCCGCCCUUCAGCAGGCUGGCACACAGCUGGGGGUGGCCACUGUGGGCAGACGCUGGUACGCACCGGGCCAGGGAUGGGUGUCACACACACAGGGCAAUGGGGUGGCAUAGAGCCGACCUUUCCAUGCCUGGUGAGGCCAAGGUGGCCCUGGAGUGAGGUUGGCAUGUUUACCAAGCCUGAGGCACACUCUCCAGCAGGAAUGAAAUCACUGGUGGGUGUGAGCACGUGCCCUUGGGCCACUUUUGUCCACUCAUGUAGACAAAGAGAAACCCGGAACCAAGGGAAAAUGCCAAACUAUUUUUAUUAAUACCUGUAUGUAAAACCCAGCAUUGUUGUCCUGUCUGACGUGGCCUAGGGUUUCCCAGCCAGUGCAAGAAGGGUCAGGAAUCAGGAACCAGGCUAGGGUAUCAGGCACUUGCCAGGCCUAGAUCAGGCAUUCAGCACCCUGAGGCUGUCUGGGCAGUGUGGGGUGGAUGAGCCUGGACCAGCAUGGAAGGGGCCCUCUGCUCUGACUAGGACCAGACCCUCUAAGGAUCACACAGCAGCUCUCCGCUGCCUUGCGUCAGAUCUGGGGUAUAGAAAGAGACCCCUGAUUAACAGGGGGACUCUUGGCCCUGCCCCCAUUCAUCCACUCUCACAAAAGUGCACCAAGAGACAACCCUGGUUAUCAACCAGGACAGAAGAGUGGAUGAACUGUUAAGAAGAGGCUUUCCUGCCUGGGAUCUGGUGAGCAGGUGGGGGCAGGGUAACCGUACUGGCUUGUGUCACAGUGACAUUUUCCAAAGUAAAAAACAGUUAAAAAAUAC